CUACGGGGGGCACCAGUGAGGAAUAUUGCACAAUGGGGGGAACCCUGAUGCAGCAACGCCGCGUGGAGGAUGACGCAUUUCGGUGUGUAAACUCCUUUUAUAUGUCAAGAAAAUGACGGUAGCAUAUGAAUAAGCACCGGCUGACUCCGUGCCAGCAGCCGCGGUAAUACGGAGGGUGCAAGCGUUACUCGGAAUCACUGGGCGUAAAGGACGCGUAGGCGGGUUGGAAAGUCAGGUGUGAAAUCCUACAGCUUAACUGUUGAACUGCACCUGAAACUUCUAAUCUAGAGUAUGGGAGGGGGAGAUGGAAUUAGUGGUGUAGGGGUAAAAUCCGUAGAUAUCACUAGGAAUACCUAAAGCGAAGGCGAUCUCCUGGAACAUUACUGACGCUAAGGCGUGAAAGCGUGGGGAGCAAACAGGAUUAGAUACCCCUGUAGUC
rnacentral:rRNA from 1 species